rnacentral:rRNA from 1 species
UACGUAGGGUCCGAGCGUUGUCCGGAAUUAUUGGGCGUAAAGAGCUCGUAGGUGGUGUGUCGCGUCUGCUGUGUAAGUCCGGGGCUCAACUCCGGUUUUGCAGUGGAUACGGGCAUGCUAGAGGUAGGUAGGGGAGACUGGAAUUCCUGGUGUAGCGGUGAAAUGCGCAGAUAUCAGGAGGAACACCGGUGGCGAAGGCGGGUCUCUGGGCCUUACCUGACGCUGAGGAGCGAAAGCGUGGGGAGCGAACAGG